AGCUCCUGGGAGACCCAACCAUCACCCCACCACACUGCUCCUGCCGUGCUCAGUAGCGGUGCAAGUGAGGUGCCGAGGAGGAGGUUCCUGCUAGACAUGGGUCGGGUACCGAGACGCUAAAAGACCUUUUCACCCAUCUAAGACUUCAAGCCUACAGGAAACACAGCAAUGGCGACUUUCGGAGGGUUUCAAGACGCUGUCAAACGGGUUAUUCACACGCAGAGUCCCUGCACCUCCCUCAACCAGAAGAACAAUACGCAACAAAAUGGUCCCAUUAGCCCUAGUCUGGGAGAAGAGAUCUCACCACCAGCACCGAAGUUCAGAGCAGCCAAGAUACACAACUUCCAGAAAAUGGUGAAAAAGGUGGUGAACUCACAGAACACCAUCGCCAACGUCGAGUACUUGGGAGGAAAAAGUG